CGGCACGGGUGAGUAACGCGUAUCCAACCUGCCGUCUACUCUUGGACAGCUCUGAAAGGAAGAUUAAUACAAGAUGGCAUCAUGAGUCCGCAUGUUCACAUGAUUAAAGGUAUUCCGGUAGACGAUGGGGAUGCGUUCCAUUAGAUAGUAGGCGGGGUAACGGCCCACCUAGUCUUCGAUGGAUAGGGGUUCUGAGAGGAAGGUCCCCCACAUUGGAACUGAGACACGGUCCAA
rnacentral:rRNA from 1 species